rnacentral:rRNA from 1 species
UACGGAGGGUGCAAGCGUUAUCCGGAUUUACUGGGUUUAAAGGGUGCGUAGGUGGGCAGGUAAGUCAGUGGUGAAAUCUCCGGGCUUAACCCGGAAACUGCCAUUGAUACUAUCUGACUUGAAUUUCCUGGAGGUAAGCGGAAUAUGUCAUGUAGCGGUGAAAUGCUUAGAUAUGACAUAGAACACCAAUUGCGAAGGCAGCUUACUACGGGAAUAUUGACACUGAGGCACGAAAGCGUGGGGAUCAAACAGG